UACAGAGGUCUCAAGCGUUGUUCGGAUUCAUUGGGCGUAAAGGGUGCGUAGGCGGUUCGGUAAGUCGGCUGUGAAAGUCCAGGGCUCAACCCUGGGAUGCCGGUCGAUACUGCCGGACUAGAGUUCGGAAGAGGCGAGUGGAAUUCCCGGUGUAGCGGUGAAAUGCGCAGAUAUCGGGAGGAACACCAAUGGCGAAGGCAGCUCGCUGGGACGUUACUGACGCUGAGGAGCGAAAGCAUGGGGAGUGCGAACAGGA
rnacentral:rRNA from 1 species